rnacentral:misc_RNA from 1 species
UUUUUUUUAUUCCGUGGAGGAUUUUUCGUGCGUGAACGAUGGCCACUUGUGAAAAGUUAGUGCGAUGCCGUGUUUCGUCUACGUAAGAUACCACUUUCACAAGAACAAGAAGGUUAUAAGUGCGAAGAGCGUGCCGUGCGGUCGUUUAACUGCAAGGACGUUGACGACUUCACCCCUGGGGAUGUCUUCAGUGCUUACUGGGAGCGGCGAUGAGAAGACCAAGUCGGCUCUACGACACCGUGCUUCUGCAUAUGACAGGUUCAGCACAAAGUGUUGCUACAGCAGCAACAACUGCGCCUGCUACUGAGUCUGCUGCCACCUCAUAUCCUGCAGCCAGACCAACUAAAUGUGCUGCCUCUUCUGGUCCUGCAGCCUUAGCAGUCACACUGCCUUCUGCCUCUGAUGCUGACAUGUCGCAGUGUUCGUUCAGCAAGGAUGAACAGCUAAGAUAAUCAAGGAUCCACAAGGAGUAUUAUAGGUUGACCAGCCUAACGGUUGGAUGCUCUCAAGGGCCGCCUCAAAAAAGGACUUUCAUUUGGUUCAGCGGUCCACCAUCGCAAUAUGGUGGACAGAUGCCCGCGUGCAUAGGAGCUUCCUGGGAACGAACCAUUUUGCAGCAGAAGGUGGCCAGAAGCCUGCACAGCAGCCAUUGUCCCCACACAAAGUGGAAGCAUAGAGAGUCUCUUCCAGGCACUACAGUGCUGCCCAAAGCCCUUCGGAAGAGGAAGCGAAACAGGCCGCCCAGAACACCAGGCUUUUGGCUGUCCCAGAAGACAUCCAAGUUGAGGCGAGGGCAGAAAAAAUAAACAGAGAAGUCAUUUUCAUUUCCAAA